GACGUAGGGCGCGAGCGUUGUCCGGAUUUAUUGGGCGUAAAGAGCUCGUAGGCGGCUCGUUGCGUCGGCUGUGAAAACCCGGGGCUCAACUCCGGGCCUGCAGUCGAUACGGGCUGGCUUGAGUGCGGUAGGGGAGACUGGAAUUCCUGGUGUAGCGGUGAAAUGCGCAGAUAUCAGGAGGAACACCGGUGGCGAAGGCGGGUCUCUGGGCCGUAACUGACGCUGAGGAGCGAAAGCGUGGGGAGCGAACAGG
rnacentral:rRNA from 1 species